rnacentral:rRNA from 1 species
GAAUCAGAAUGUCGCGGUGAAUACGUUCCCGGGCCUUGUACACACCGCCCGUCACACCAUGAGAGCUGGUAACACCCGAAGUCCGUGAGGUAACCGUAAGGAACCAGCGGCCGAAGGUGGGAUUAGUAAUUGGGGUGAAGUCGUAACAAGGUAGCCGUAGGAGAACCUGCGGCUGGAUCACCUCCUUUCUAAGGA